rnacentral:rRNA from 1 species
GACGAACGCUGGCGGCGUGCUUAACACAUACACGUCGAGCGGAGCGGCGAACGGGUGAGUAACGCGUGAGUAACUGCCCCCAUCUCUGGGAUAACAGUUGGAAACGGCUGCUAAUACAGGAUAGUGGGGGAUGACUCGCGUCCUAUCAGCUUGUGGGUGGGGUAGUGGCCUACCAAGGCGACGACGGGUAGCCGGACUGAGCGGGCGAACGGCCACUGUGGGCUGAGAUAAUGCCCAAAUCCCUACGGGAGGCCUCAGGGGGGAAUAUUGCAGCAGGGGGGAAACCCUGAUGCAGCAACGCGCGUGCGGGAUGACUGCCUUCGGGUUGUAAACCGCUUUCAGCCAUGACGCGGCAGUGGCAUAAGAAGCACCGGCUAACUACGUGCCAGCAGCCGCGGUAAUAC